UGGGGAAUUUUGGACAAUGGGCGCAAGCCUGAUCCAGCCAUGCCGCGUGUCUGAAGAAGGCCUUCGGGUUGUAAAGGACUUUUGUCAGGGAGGAAAUCCCUAGCGCUAAUAUCGCUGGGGGAUGACAGUACCUGAAGAAUAAGCACCGGCUAACUACGUGCCAGCAGCCGCGGUAAUACGUAGGGUGCAAGCGUUAAUCGGAAUUACUGGGCGUAAAGCGUGCGCAGGCGGUUGUGUAAGUCUGAUGUGAAAGCCCCGGGCUUAACCUGGGAACUGCAUUGGAGACUGCACAGCUAGAGUGCGUCAGAGGGGGGUAGAAUUCCGCGUGUAGCAGUGAAAUGCGUAGAGAUGCGGAGGAAUACCGAUGGCGAAGGCAGCCCCCUGGGAUGACACUGACGCUCAUGCACGAAAGCGUGGGGAGCAAACAGG
rnacentral:rRNA from 1 species